CAAGUCGAGUGCGCGUUUCCGUAGCAAUACGGAAAUGGCGCACGGCGCACGGGUGCGUAACACGUGGGUAAUCUGCCCUUCGAUGGGGAAUAACUCGCCGAAAGGCGAGCUAAUUCCGCAUAACAUUCCUUGGACUCCGGUCCGGGGAUUCAAAGGCGUGAGUCGUCGGAGGUGGAGCCCGCGCACGAUUAGCUAGUUGGUGAGGUAAUGGCUCACCAAGGCUAUGAUCGUUAGCUGGUCUGAGAGGAUGGCCAGCCACACUGGAACUGAGACACGGUCCAGACUCCUACGGGAGGCAGCAGUGGGGAAUCUUGCACAAUGGGCGAAAGCCUGAUGCAGCGACGCCGCGUGGGGGAUGAAGCUUCUCGGAGUGUAAACCCCUUUCGACCGGGACGAAUGCCCGCAAGGGACUGACGGUACCGGUAUAAGAAGCCCCGGCUAACUACGUGCCAGCAGCCGCGGUAAGACGUAGGGGGCCAGCGUUGCUCGGAAUUACUGGGUGUAAAGGGUUCGUAGGCGGUGUAGCAAGUCGGGAGUGAAAUCUCUGGGCUCAACCCAGGGGCUGCUUCCGAAACUGCUGUGCUAGAGUGUGGGAGAGGCGCGUGGAAUUGCAGGUGUAGCGGUGAAAUGCGUAGAUAUCUGCAGGAACACCCGUGGCGAAAGCGGCGCGCUGGACCACUACUGACGCUGAGGAACGAAAGCUAGGGGAGCAAACAGGAUUAGAUACCCUGGUAGUCCUAGCCCUAAACGAUCAGGACUUGGGGUGCCACCCGUUUCGGGUGUCGUCCCGGAGCUAACGCGUUAAGUCCUGCACCUGGGGAGUACGGUCGCAAGACUGAAACUCAAAGGAAUUGACGGGGGCCC
rnacentral:rRNA from 1 species